rnacentral:rRNA from 1 species
CCUACGGGAGGCAGCAGUAGGGAAUAUUGCUCAAUGGGGGAAACCCUGAAGCAGCAACGCCGCGUGGAGGAUGAAGGUUUUCGGAUUGUAAACUCCUUUUGUUAGAGAAGAUAAUGACGGUAUCUAACGAAUAAGCACCUGCUAACUCCGUGCCAGCAGCCGCGGUAAUACGGAGGGUGCAAGCGUUAAUCGGAAUCACUGGGCGGAAAGAGCGCGUAGGCGGGAUAGCAAGUCAGAUGUGAAAUCCUAUGGCUUAACCAUAGAACUGCAUUUGAAACUGUUAUUCUAGAGUAUGGGAGAGGUAGGUGGAAUUCUUGGUGUAGGGGUAAAAUCCGUAGAGAUCAAGAGGAAUACUCAUUGCGAAGGCGACCUGCUAGAACAUAACUGACGCUGAUGCGCGAAAGCGUGGGGAGCAAACAGGAUUAGAUACCCGAGUAGUC